AGCUCCAAUAGCGUAUAUUUAAGUUGUUGCAGUUAAAAAGCUCGUAGUUGGAUUUCGGGCCCAGGUGACCGGUCCGCCGUUUCGGUGUGCACUGGUUAGCUCGGUCUUUCUGCCGGGGACGCGCUCCGUCUUGAUUGCCGGACGCGGAGUCGGCGAUGUUACUUUGAAAAAAUUAGAGUGUUCAAAGCAGGCUUACGCUCUGAAUACUAUAGCAUGGAAUAACACGAUAGGACUCCGAGCCUAUUUUGUUGGUCUUCGGGACCGGAGUAAUGAUUAAGAGGGACAGUUGGGGGCAUUCGUAUUACGGUGUCAGAGGUGAAAUUCUUGGAUUUCCGUAAGACGAACUUCUGCGAAAGCAUUUGCCAAGGAUGUUUUCAUUAAUCAAGAACGAAAGUACGCA
rnacentral:rRNA from 1 species